rnacentral:rRNA from 1 species
AGGGGACCCCCCGGAGUGGGGCCUGGGGCUUAAUUUGACUCAACACGGGAAAAAUCACCAGGCCCGGACACCGGAAGGAUUGACAGAUUGAGAGCUCUUUCUUGAUUCGGUGGGUGGUGGUGCAUGGCCGUUCUUAGUUGGUGGAGCGAUUUGUCUGGUUAAUUCCGAUAACGAACGAGACUCUGGCCUACUAAAUAGACGUUGGAUCCCUUUGUGGGUCUAUCGCAGCUUCUUAGAGGGACGGGCGGCGUUCAGCCGCACGAGAUUGAGCAAUAACAGGUCUGUGAUGCCCUUAGAUGUUCUGGGCUGCACGCGCGCUACACUGAAGGAAUCAGCGUGUGUUCCCUGCCCGAAAGGACUGGGAAACCCGUUGAACCUCCUUCGUGAUGGGGAUUGGGGAUUGCAAUUAUUCCCCAUGAACGAGGAAUUCCCAGUAUGCGCGAGUCAUAAGCUUGCGUCGAUUACGUCCCUGCCCUUUGUACACACCGCCCGUCGCUACUACCGAUCGAGUGAUUUAUU